ACCCGCUGAAUUUAAGCAUAUAAGUAAGCGGAGGAAAAGAAACUCAAGAGGAUUCCCUUAGUAAUGGCGAAUGAACAGGGGUAAGCUCAGAGUGGAAAUCGGGGCCUUUCUGGCUUCGAAUUGUGAUCUCGAGAUGUACAACCAGCAUGGGGUGCAGGUAUAAGCCUUUUGGAAAAGAGCACCAGCGAGGGUGAGAGUCCCAUUCGUUACCUGUAGCCCCCAGUGCAUGGUGUGCAUUCUAAGAGUCACGCUCCUCGGGAUUGGAGCGCAAAGUGGGUGGUAAAUUUCAUCUAAAGCUAAAUACGGGCCUGAGACCGAUAGCACACAAGUACCCUGAGGGAAAGGUGAAAAGGACUUUGGAAAGAGAGUUAAACAGAGCCUGCCAUUGCUGAAAGGGAAGCGAACGAAAUCAGUGUGACUGGGCGAGAUCGGGCCGUGCCAUGGUGAGCUUCUGCGAACUGGACGUGCGGCUCAUUUCUUGCCCUGUCGGUCAACAGUGCUGCAAGCGCGAGGAAAAGAGUAUUGGACUGUCAGCUCGCCUACGGGGGAGUGAAUGCCUUUGCUACUACUUGCGCGCGUAGUGCCGCUUGGCUAUAUGGUUUCUUUCGACCCGUCUUGAAACACGGACCAAGGAGUCUAACAUAUGUGCGAGUCUGCAGGUGUUUAAACCUGUUAGCGCAAUGAAAGUGACUGCUAGAAAUUGUGCACUGGCAACCGACCAAUCGCUUGAGAAAGGUUUGAGUAUGAGCAUGUCUGUUAGGACCCGAAAGAUGGUGAACUAUGCCCGUGAAGGGCAAACUCAGGGGAAACUCUGAUGGAGGCCCGUAGCGAUACUGACGUGCAAAUCGUUCGUCAUACAUGGGUUUGGGGGGCGAAAGACUAAUCGAACCAUUCUAGUAGCUGGUUCCCUCCGAAGUUUCCCUCAG
rnacentral:rRNA from 1 species